rnacentral:rRNA from 1 species
GAGAUGGAUGGCGAGCUGACGGAGCACGCCGCGUGAGUGAUGAAGGUCUUCGGAUCGUAAAACUCUGUUAUUAGGGAAGAACAAGGGUGUAAGUAACUGUGCAUCCCUUGACGGUACCUAAUCAGAAAGCCACGGCUAACUACGUGCCAGCAGCCGCGGUAAUACGUAGGUGGCAAGCGUUAUCCGGAAUUAUUGGGCGUAAAGCGCGCGUAGGCGGUUUUUUAAGUCUGAUGUGAAAGCCCACGGCUCAACCGUGGAGGGUCAUUGGAAACUGGAAAACUUGAGUGCAGAAGAGGAAAGUGGAAUUCCAUGUGUAGCGGUGAAAUGCGCAGAGAUAUGGAGGAACACCAGUGGCGAAGGCGACUUUCUGGUCUGCAACUGACGCUGAUGUGCGAAAGCGUGGGGAUCAAACAGGAUUAGAUACCCCAGUAGUCCA